CAGGCCUAACACAUGCAAGUCGAACGAUGCUUUCGGGCAUAGUGGCGCACGGGUGCGUAACGCGUGGGAAUCUGCCCCUUGGUUCGGAAUAACAGCUAGAAAUGGCUGCUAAUACCGGAUGACGACGUAAGUCCAAAGAUUUAUCGCCGAGGGAUGAGCCCGCGUAGGAUUAGCUGGUUGGUGUGGUAAAGGCGCACCAAGGCGACGAUCCUUAGCUGGUCUGAGAGGAUGAUCAGCCACACUGGGACUGAGACACGGCCCAGACUCCUACGGGAGGCAGCAGUGGGGAAUAUUGGACAAUGGGCGCAAGCCUGAUCCAGCAAUGCCGCGUGAGUGAUGAAGGCCUUAGGGUUGUAAAGCUCUUUUACCCGGGAUGAUAAUGACAGUACCGGGAGAAUAAGCUCCGGCUAACUCCGUGCCAGCAGCCGCGGUA
rnacentral:rRNA from 1 species